rnacentral:rRNA from 1 species
ACGCACGCUGGCGGCAUGCCUAACACAUGCAAGUCGCACGAGACCUUCGGGUCUAGUGGCGCACGGGUGCGUAACGCGUGGGAACCUGCCUUUAGGUUCGGAAUAACUCAGAGAAAUUUGAGCUAAUACCGGAUGAUGUCUUCGGACCAAAGAUUUAUCGCCUUUAGAUGGGCCCGCGUUGGAUUAGCUAGUUGGUGGGGUAAAGGCCUACCAAGGCGACGAUCCAUAGCUGGUCUGAGAGGAUGAUCAGCCACACUGGGACUGAGACACGGCCCAGACUCCUACGGGAGGCAGCAGUGGGGAAUAUUGGACAAUGGGCGAAAGCCUGAUCCAGCAAUGCCGCGUGAGUGAUGAAGGCCUUAGGGUUGUAAAGCUCUUUUACCCGAGAUGAUAAUGACAGUAUCGGGAGAAUAAGCUCCGGCUAACUCCGUG